rnacentral:rRNA from 1 species
ACUCCCUUCGGGGAGUGCAUAAAGUGGCGCACGGGUGAGUAACACGUAAGUAAUCUACCUUCGAGUGGGGAAUAACCCGGGGAAACCCGAGCUAAUACCGCAUAAUGCAGCGGCAUCGCAAGAUGACAGUUGUUAAAGGAGCAAUCCGCUUGAAGAGGAGCUUGCGGCAGAUUAGCUAGUUGGUAAGGUAAUGGCUUACCAAGGCUACGAUCUGUAUCCGGUCUAAGAGGACGGUCGGACACACUGACACUGAAUAACGGGUCAGACUCCUACGGGAGGCAGCAGUCGGGAAUUUUGGGCAAUGGGCGAAAGCCUGACCCAGCAACGCCGCGUGAAGGAUGAAGUAUUUCGGUAUGUAAACUUCGAAAGAAUGGGAAGAAUAAAUGACGGUACCAUUUAUAAGCUCCGGCUAACUACGUGCAAGCAGCCGCGGUAAUACGUAGGGAGCAAGCGUUG